AAGCCGGAAUCGCUAGUAAUCGCGGAUCAGAAUGCCGCGGUGAAUACGUUCCCGGGUCUUGUACACACCGCCCGUCACACCAUGGGAGUCGGGAAUGCCCGAAGUCGGUGGCCCAACCGGAAGGGGGAGCUGCCGAAGGCAGGCCCGGUGACUGGGGUGAAGUCGUAACAAGGUACC
rnacentral:rRNA from 1 species